rnacentral:lncRNA from 1 species
GAGAAAUAUGGAUUCCCUAUCAUGUCUUUUGUUCUUGUUCUAGAUUGGUUUACUUUUAUUUUAUGUGCAUUCCUGUUUGGCCCGUGGAUGCGUGCAGGCGCCCCGUGCUGCACCUCUCAAGGGGGAUGCCCUUACAGAGAGGCAGGCUCCAGACUACUGAGUAUUAAGUCCUUAACUGAGAAGUCUGGUUCUGUGCUCAUCUUCUUCAUUGUGAGAGCUCCAGCCGGCAGAGGAUGUCAAUAUUUGUCUAGUCAUCCUUGGCUGUCCCAGGACAAACUCUGUAGACCAAGCUGACAUCAAACUCAGAGAUCUGCUGCCUCUGCCUUCCAAAGGCUGGGAUUAAAGAAGUGUGUAAUUCCAGUGCUAAGAAGAUUUUUAGAUCCUUUUCCAACAGCCUACAAAUAGGAAUUACAUAACAGGACAUGUAUUCAAAGCCAUAGAUUCCUAAAAGCUGCAGGAGACUGAUUGACCGAGUGUUCUUUCUCAUUGUGGACGAUGUACUUGAAGGUGUCUAGCCUAAGCUUAGAUGUCCUUCUCUCUGAGGGCAGAUGGGCGGGGUUUGUUGCCUUCUGAGCAGCUUCCACACACGGAUGUGGUAGUUGUUCCUAGAGUCCAUGUUUUCACAAACAGCCAGAAACAAAUCCAAUCUCAGCUCCACCAUUGGCUGAAUGCUGUAGAGCACCCAAAGAAAGUGAAUGUUUCACAGUUCACUGUCACAGGACCCUCACAAGGUAUGCGCCUGUUAGAAGCUAGAAAAGGAAAAUGAAAAGGAAAAUACCAAUGGCAUUGUCUUGGGAAGGAGCUGCCUGGAUGGGUCUGUUUCUCAUUGGAAGUGGUAGUUAGGGGUUGACCGCAACUGAACUUUUCCAUUGUGGUUCAAGGACUAGUGACUUGCCUAUCACAGGACAGCAAUCUUAAAUAUAUAGAAUCUUUUGAAGAGAUGACCUGGCUACCCUGGAGACAAGAAGAUCAGGGGUGGGUUGCCAAGGGAUGCUUCUUUGAGGAAUACUGAGUCUAAUUCAUCUCAAGCCAAGGUAUGACUUUUCUCCCUACCCUGACUGAUGACAUGCAAGGCAGGAGGCUGCCAUGUUGCUCCUUUUCUGUCAUGAUAGUUGUGGCUAACUGUGUGUACAGGAAAUACAGGUUAACAAAAGAAAGUC